rnacentral:rRNA from 1 species
AGUGAACGCUGGCGGUAGGCCUAACACAUGCAAGUCGAACGGCAGCACAGUAAGAGCUUGCUCUUACGGGUGGCGAGUGGCGGACGGGUGAGGAAUACAUCGGAAUCUACUUUUUCGUGGGGGAUAACGUAGGGAAACUUACGCUAAUACCGCAUACGACCUACGGGUGAAAGCAGGGGAUCUUCGGACCUUGCGCGAUUGAAUGAGCCGAUGUCGGAUUAGCUAGUUGGCGGGGUAAAGGCCCACCAAGGCGACGAUCCGUAGCUGGUCUGAGAGGAUGAUCGGCCACACUGGAAGUGAGACACGGACAAGACUACUACGGGAGGCAGCAGUGGGGAAUAUUGGACAAUGGGCGCAAGCCUGAUCCAGCCAUACCGCGUGGGUGAAGAAGGCCUUCGGGUUGUAAAGCCCUUUUGUUGGGAAAGAAAAGCAGCAGGUUAAUACCCCGCUGUUCUGACGGUACCCAAAGAAUAAGCACCGGCUAACUUCGUG